rnacentral:tRNA from 1 species
UGCGGGGUGGAGCAGUUGGCAGCUCGUUGGGCUCAUAACCCAAAGGUCAGUCGUUCGAGUCGGCUCCCCGCUA